rnacentral:tRNA from 1 species
GGGAGUAGCUCAAUGGUAGAGCAUUUACCUAGCAUGCAUGAGGCCCUGAGUUCAAUCCCCAGUAUCA